GAGAAAGUGUUUGCGGGUUAUAUUUAUGUAUCACUUGGUGGCAUCAUCAUAGUCUGACAGCCCUCGACUGAUAAAGCUGUGUUUUUUCUUGUGUCUCCUGUCAUUGUGCUUUUAAGGGAGAGUACUGCUGGGUUUCAAAUGACAGGGUUUGGAUCAUUUUGUCAGCCCGGCACAGCUCUUGGAAAAAAAAAAAAAAACGUUUUUUUUUCUGGCUUAUCUACUUGGAGUCUUUGACACAGGGUUGCUUUGUUCAUCUCACACAGGGAGGCUUCCCUGAAUAGUGCCAGCCAGCUAGUGGAGUCUGGUUGUUAGCAAGCUGACUCAUGUGGAAAAAAAAUAAUGAAACAAAAAAGACAACAAAGGUUUCUAUGAAAAUGUGAGCUCAUUGUGCUCUUACAGUAUACUGUAUUUUAGCCUCCAUUACGUAUAACAGUACUUACCUGGUUUUUGGCUAAGUAGAUAGAGGAAGGUUUUCCGAGGAUCGGCGUGAUCUCUACAGCGUUCCCAGAUGUGGUCCGGACAGAGACAGGAAGGUGUGCAGUUUGACCAGGUAGCAGCGGAAGCGAGGCCUUGUCAGCACUGACCGGAUGAUCACGUUGCCCAGAGAGUGACCUAUAAAGCUGAGACAUGAGGAAGUCCAAUCUGGACCCAGGCAAUCCCAGUUCUAUGAAGGUUUUCACCAGGCGAAGAUCUGCACUGUUCCCUAGGAGAUAUUAUAACAACACAUCUUGAAACACCUGGCCUGGGACGUAACGGAAAACAAGUGCCCUGUAUUACAGGAUGGUGCAAACAGUCAAAAAAGUCAAAACAGUCAUGGGGGAAGUAGGGCAGUUCGGAGGCCAGGUGAGGAAGAUCACUAUACAGGGUGGCCUGGAAUGACAGCUCCUUCACCAGAUCCUCUUUGGACCGGUAAAACCUGGAACACAGCGCGGGCAGACGGGGCUAGUGGCUUCGGGCGAGGAUGAGGAGAUAAUGCCAAAUGAGCCCAGGGGCUGGUGCGUAAUUGGGGAGACGGCCUGGCGGGAGGAGAUGCCACUGA